UACGUAGGGAGCAAGCGUUGUCCGGAAUCAUUGGGCGUAAAGCGCGCGUAGGUGGCUUCGUAAGUCCGUUGUGAAAGUCAAAGGCUCAACCUUUGAACGCCGAUGGAUACUGUGAAGCUAGAGUACGGAAGAGGCGAGUGGAAUUCCUGGUGUAGCGGUGGAAUGCGCAGAUAUCAGGAGGAACACCAAUAGCGAAGGCAGCUCGCUGGGACGUUACUGACACUGAGGCGCGAAAGCGUGGGGAGCGAACAGG
rnacentral:rRNA from 1 species